UCCCGGCUAGCUCAGUCGGUAGAGCGUCAGACUCUUAUCCCCAAGAGCCUCUGUGAUCAUCACAGACCUUUAUCUGAAUGUCGUGGGUUCGAGCCCCACGUUGGGAG
rnacentral:tRNA from 2 species